rnacentral:rRNA from 4 species
CCCGCUGAGUUUAAGCAUAUCAAUAAGCGGAGGAAAAGAAACUAACAAGGAUUCCCCUAGUAACGGCGAGCGAA